rnacentral:lncRNA from 1 species
CUUCUUAACUUUAUUGGGGCACCUCUGUGGUUCUUUGAUGGGAAAUCCUUGAGAAUCAUCGGGACAGCUCUCCCCUAACGGUACAGAGUGGACCUUUGCUCGGACGCCACCUGGCACAGGAAUGCCAUUGAAUGCCUCCCCGUCCUCCUUUGUCCCCCUUCUCACCUUUAUUUCUGGUCAGGUAGGCUCGAAGGUAUAACAAUGCUGCACCCGCUGUCCCUCACCGAGGCGGCUUCCACCGGCACUUUAUCUUCGAGGAUUCUAUUGGAGCCUGAUAAUUCCUUAGGCGAGCACUCUCCCCCACCAGAUAAGAUCUGAACCUAGGCUUGAAGUGGGGCACUUCAUGAAGUGAGUCUGGACACCCCGACGUUCAAUUACUGGAACUGUUAUUUAUUGAUCUAUCGAUGAAUAAGGAGUCUACCAGCCGUGACAGACUCCCCUAGUGGAAGCUGAACUGGACUGAAGUUAUAAGUCGGUUUCUAUAGGGUUACAAACGUGCAGGAUACAAAGACCAUACAUUCCUUUCCACAUAAGGUAUAUCUUAGCAAAAGAAACCUUAUCUCACAAAAACAGAUGUUAUUUCUCCAUAUACCACUCAAACAUAUUUCAGCCAUAUGUUACUUUGCAUUCCAACCUGACAAGUUACAUCCAGAUGUAACGUGGAUGCCAUUGUAGGAAUGUAGGUAAGGGAUAGAGUACAUUUCAUGGAAUAGCUUGAAGAGGAAAAGAAGAGAAUUUGGGAACAAGCCCUGGGAGAAGAUUCUGACAAGGAGAAAAGGACUGUAGGAAUUUACUGGCAUUAACAGUCACUCUCUCCUGCUUUUGACUGAGCUGGAAGGAGGUCUUUGUUCUGGCAUUUUCCCUUGACAAUCCUAAUCUUGUGGAGAGGUUAGUGAUUCCUUGGUUUGAGAGUUUGCCUUGGAGUGGACUGCUUUUCCCUGAAGCACAGAAACUCUCUUGCUGGAAAUACACUUGGCUAAGGUAAUCCCAAGGGUUUGUCACCUGGGACUCUGGUUACCUAGUGAAUCCAACCCCAGACUUUAGCUAAGGACUCAAAUAUACCUUUGAGCCCUUCCUUCUUUAUCUUUUUGAUAAUCCAUCUUAAUUAGGUUAGUUUAUAGUCAGAUAACUUUUGGGGUCUUAGAUAAGAGAAGGGAGCUAUAGGAAGGGCUUGAGAAGAUCAGAAGAGCAAACCCUGUAUGAAUUUUAGAUUUACUCCACCCUGCUUAGUCUAACAAAAAAGGAGUGUCUACACG